UUCUUUUGCUUAGAUAAAACAGAGCGAAAAUGCGAAAAAAAAGGAAAAAGCUAAAAAAAAGAACCAAACAACCCUAUCCAUGGUACCAAACAACCUCUAUUCCAGAUACUAUUCCAGCCAAGAAUGCCUGCAGCCAACCACCCUAUUCCUGCAGCCAACCACCCUUAUCCCUGCACCCAAGCACCACCCCUCAGCACAAAUUAACCCCCCAACCCUAAAAUUUUAAAACAUUUUUCUUUCAUUUUCCCACAAAACCAUCAUAUCCCGCCA
rnacentral:lncRNA from 1 species